ACGAACGCUGGCGGCAGGCUUAACACAUGCAAGUCGCGCGGGCCCUUCGGGGUCAGCGGCAGACGGGUGAGUAACACGUGGGAACGUACCUUUUGGUUCGGAACAACUCCGGGAAACUGGAGCUAAUACCGGAUAAGCCCUUAGGGGGAAAGAUUUAUCGCCAAAAGAUCGGCCCGCGUCUGAUUAGCUAGUUGGUGGGGUAACGGCCCACCAAGGCGACGAUCAGUAGCUGGUCUGAGAGGAUGAUCAGCCACACUGGGACUGAGACACGGCCCAGACUCCUACGGGAGGCAGCAGUGGGGAAUAUUGGACAAUGGGCGCAAGCCUGAUCCAGCCAUGCCGCGUGAGUGAUGAAGGCCUUAGGGUUGUAAAGCUCUUUUGUCCGGGAAGAUAAUGACUGUACCGGAAGAAUAAGCCCCGGCUAACUUCGUG
rnacentral:rRNA from 1 species